rnacentral:tRNA from 2 species
GGGCCGGUAGCGUAGCCCGGUUAUCGCGCCUCCUUGUCACGGAGGAGAUCGCGGGUCCGAAUCCCGUCCGGCCCG